UACGGAGGGGGCUAGCGUUGUUCGGAAUUACUGGGCGUAACGCGCACGUAGGCGGCUUUGUAAGUUAGAGGUGAAAGCCCGGAGCUUAACUCCGGAAUUGCCUUUAAGACUGCAUCGCUAGAAUUGUGGAGAGGUAAGUGGAAUUCCGAGUGUAGAGGUGAAAUUCGUAGAUAUUCGGAAGAACACCAGUGGCGAAGGCGGCUCACUGGACCGGCAUUGACGCUGAGGUGCGAAAGCGUGGGGAGCAAACAGG
rnacentral:rRNA from 1 species